rnacentral:rRNA from 1 species
GACGAACGCUGGCGGCGUGCUUAACACAUGCAAGUCGAACGGUGAAAGCGGAGCUUGCUCCGCUGGAUCAGUGGCGAACGGGUGAGUAACACGUGGGCAACCUGCCCCUCACUUCGGGAUAACUCCGCGAAACCGGGGCUAAUACCGGAUAUGACCUCCUUGGGCAUCCUUGGCGGUGGAAAGUUUUUCGGUGAGGGAUGGGCCCGCAGCCUAUCAGCUUGUUGGUGGGGUAGUGGCUCACCAAGGCGACGACGGGUAGCCGGCCUGAGAGGGCGGCCGGCCACACUGGGACUGAGACACGGCCCAGACUCCUACGGGAGGCAGCAGUGGGGAAUAUUGCGCAAUGGGCGAAAGCCUGACGCAGCAACGCCGCGUGCGGGAUGACGGCCUUCGGGUUGUAAACCGCUUUCAGCAGGGAAGAAGCCGCAAGGUGACGGUACCUGCAGAAGAAGCACCGGCUAACUACGUGCCAGCCGCCGCGGUAA